AGCGGAGGAAAGAACCAACCGGGAUUGCCUUAGUAACGGCGAGUGAAGCGGCAAAAGCUCAAAUUUGAAAUCUGGUACCUUCGGUGCCCGAGUUGUAAUUUGGAGAGGGCAACUUUGGGGCCGUUCCUUGUCUAUGUUCCUUGGAACAGGACGUCAUAGAGGGUGAGAAUCCCGUGUGGCGAGGAGUGCGGUUCUUUGUAAAGUGCCUUCGAAGAGUCGAGUUGUUUGGGAAUGCAGCUCUAAGUGGGUGGUAAAUUCCAUCUAAAGCUAAAUAUUGGCGAGAGACCGAUAGCGAACAAGUACAGUGAUGGAAAGAUGAAAAGAACUUUGAAAAGAGAGUGAAAAAGUACGUGAAAUUGUUGAAAGGGAAGGGCAUUUGAUCAGACAUGGUGUUUUGUGCCCUCUGCUCCUUGUGGGUAGGGGAAUCUCGCAUUUCACUGGGCCAGCAUCAGUUUUGGUGGCGGGAUAAAUCCAUAGGAAUGUAGCUUGCCUCGGUAAGUAUUAUAGCCUGUGGGAAUACUGCCAGCUGGGACUGAGGACUGCGACGUAAGUCAAGGAUGCUGGCAUAAUGGUUAUAUGCCGCCCGUCUUGAAACACGGACCUCCUGUGUGAAGUGAAUCCGCUA
rnacentral:rRNA from 1 species